UUGGUCCGGAGGAGGCCGCUGGUGGCGUCCCCGUGACGUCAGAGCGGACGUGGCGCAGGACGUGCGCGGGAGGAACCGGGGCAGCGGUUAAGGGAGGAGGCGUGCGAGCUGCGGGGACUACCUAUCCCGGCAUGCAACUGGUCGGGCCAAGGCAUGCUGGGCUUCGGUGACUCGCCGCGCGUCGAACACGGGGAGGCGGAGCUCGUUCUGCGCGCUGCAUGUCGGGACUCGUAGUCCCCGCCCGGGGGCGCCCGCGCUUGUCCCUGGCAUGAAAGCUUGUCGCCUCAGCGGGAUGACGCGAGGGGGUGGGGACGGGGCGCGUCCGCCGUCUCCCUUUCCCUUUCCCUUUCCCGCCUCUGUGCGCGGGAAACCGCAGGCGGCCGAGCUCGCUCCUCCCAGCUCGGCGGGAGAGGCCCUGCAGUGCCCGCCCGGCCCGAGGUGGGCGUGAGCCUGAAUAUUUUCCCGCUUUGAGGCUUCCUGGACAGGGCGGGCGCAGCCCCUACCUCCGGGAUUCUGCCGGCGGGGAGGCAGCGUGGGAGCCUUGCUAGGAUUGGCUCGCAGGACAAAGCCAGAGAUUCCCAGGGGAAAAAAACGAGUGAAAAGAGUAGGGACCCUGCAAGUCUCCCCACAGGUGCCUGAAGUCUGAAAAGGUGAAGCACUACACCAGAGUAGUACUCCAGGCCCGAGAUCGGGACCGUUCUUGGCAAUUCAGCCUAGCACCCGCAUGCCAGAAAACCAACCCCUGCCUGAAGUCUCUGAACUUGUUCUCCUCUCUGGCCAGUAAGCUCAUCAAAGCACCUUCCAUCAGUGGAGCAGGAAAUAAGCUGCACAAGAACUGCAGCUAAAGAACUUCACCCCUAACACCAGCUUCUGCCCCUCGGGAUGGCAGCUCCUGCAGGGCCUGGAUGGCUCUUAAUCAUCUCAAAAUGGGCGUUGGACAGUUUAAGGUCACCAUGCACUCUUGGGGGCCUUUGUAACAAAUGUUAGCUGCAGCUGUGGUGCUCAAACUCAGACGGUGGACCACAUCAUCUAUAAAUGCCCAUAUGGCCCUCAUUUGGGCACCCAAGUUCUUAUUGAUACUGACCAUUCUACCUGUUGGUGGCUUUCUGGCUCUCAUGCUUCUGACGCGAGUUUGGCGACACUUGCUCCAUCAUCAUCAUCAGAAGUUACCAUGAAAAGAGUGGACCUGGCCUCUCCCUGGUGCCCGAAUACCUGCUGGGUCAGAAGUAAUCUGCAGAUAGGAAAGAGGAGUCUGUUAUCUGUCACCUGUAACUUCUGAAACCCAUUUUUGACCUGUAUUCUGUGGCAACGUUUGCCCUAAACAACUGUAUCAUUCCUAAAGGAAGCAGUUGGGGGGCAGUUGUAGUACAUGCUUCUGCGUGUUCAAACGUUCAAACCAAUUAAUAUUAUGCCCUGCUUACAAUAGCACUGUUUUAGGCCAUUCAGUUGCAAUGACCUGUGAGAAUCCCAGAAGCACUUUGAUUCUCAGAGGUUUCCAGAUGUCACAGGGAGAUCCUUGGAUUAUAAUGAAAAAUUAUUUGAACCUAAUGUGCUAUUUUGGUAAUGACUUGCAUCUACAUUGGCACUUAAAUAUUCCAGAUAGACACAAGGAUUAGAGCAUUAGUAGAAGAAAUUAUUCAUACAGUAUAAAUGAUCACAGCUAAAGAGCUGAAGUUAAUUCUAAUCCAAAUGUUAUUUGGCACACAUGCCACUAGAAGUAUUGUUGUGUGCAUUGUGUUUCACUAUAUAAGCAGGCUAGGGUGGGGGAGCCAAGCACUUCUGGUAAAUGCAAAAAUCUCUAAUGUCUGUAAGGCAUUCAUCCACCUUCACCACUGUUGCAGAACAACACAUUGCAGAUGUCCGCUGUCCGCAGAUCCAUUCAAGAUAUUAAUUCACAUUUUGAAACCAUCAUUUCCAGUCAGAUCUAGUAUUACAUGCUUUACACCUUGAGAGUUUUCAGCACAUUUUACAGAUAAAAUAAUCAGAUUCAGAAAGAACUUUAAGCUUUCAUGGAGAAAGAGCUCAUAGACAUUCUUGGAUUCCACUUCAAGAUUCUGGAGGUAGUGGGAGAGAGAGGAACCGUCAGCUCUGAGUCUCUCUUAAUUUUCAAUGCCUGAUUGGAUUUCAGCUGGAACUAGCUGUUUCUUUCUGCUCCCACUGGGAUUUCAGGGUCAUUGUAUGUGCUUCUUUCUCCAAAACAUUCUUCCAGGAAAGAAGAGAAACAGGAUUCCUGGAAACAGGCUUCCCCACCUCAUUCAGUGGGAUUCUUUGGUGGGCAGUCAUUGGUACUCCUAAGAGGAUACUUUUUUCCCCUUCUAGGUGCUGAUAUACGUGUAGGCCCCUGUAACAGGGGGCCUGCUCGGGGCUGAUCUCUGUGGCCCGCCCACCUGUUCUUGGGCCAACCACCUGCCUUCUUGCCCGCCACGCCUUGAUGUUAAUUGAUUAAUUAAUAGAUGUCAAUUAAGCAGGAGACUGCCCAUUUUGCUGCCCUGAUGCCAGGGGGCACUCUCUGCGACUCCUUUCCUCCCCUACACAGCAGCCCAAGCCUCGCAGAUGGCAUCUAGAUGUUCUCAUCAAUCACCGGCCCCAGAAUCCACCUAUCAGGACCCCUCCAAGAUCCCUCCAUUCAGGCAGCCUACCCCACCUUAUUCCAGCCUUGGACCACCUCCAGGCCAGUCAGGACCCCAGGCCCCUGGCUCUUGGGCAUCCCUUGCAGUGGGCCUCUGGCCCUUUUGACCAUCCUGGUCCUGGCCCCAGCACGGGGGUGAUGGGCCAGUCGAGGGUACUCUCUUGUUCAGGUCCGAGUCUCUAGCCCCUCACUCUCUCCAGGGGUCUGCCCUCUGGGCCCUUCACACAAGGGUUACCCACCUGGUGGUGGGGGGUAGGGGUUAAGGUGCCCCAACCCACCUUUCACCGGAAUGGUAACUGGCCUGGCAUUUCCUGGGGGCUCCCACACCACUGAGAGUCCCACCAGGCCACCCACUCCCAGCAGGGUGAAGUUUUAGGUCAUGCCCAGGACAAGGAACCUCCUUACCAUCCCCUAGAGCUCCUCCCUUACCUCCAAAUGUAGAUCUGCAACCCUCUGGCCAAACAAUGUUGUUGCCUGGCCUCCAGGCAGGAGGACUUCCCUGUUUAUAUAGACAGCCCCUGACUCCAAAAUGGCUGCCCUCACAAGCACCUGGUGGCUGCCAGCUCCAGGCCCUUAAAGUGGCAGGCACACAGUGCCCUGCCACAACCCCCCACUCCAACUCAUGGCACUUCACAUAAAAUGCCAUGAGUUAAAGCAUCCUACCCCCACCCCGACAGAGGUUUGUCUGUUGGGUUGGAAGGGGCAGGGGAUCAAGCCUGGCUACAGCAGAUGAGUUACCCCUCUCCCCCAGUUCCUCCCCCUCCCCGCUCCAGUGCUAUUUGCAGGAAAGUAGCGGGGAGAGAGGAAGAAUAGCGAGCUGCAGCCUGGGGUUUGCCUAGAAGCUGUAGCUGAGGGGGGUGGGAGUGCUGUAAAGUGGAGCGCCUUCAUCGGAUUCCUCAUUUGAGAGGGUUAAUAUGCAAUUGGCCACUUUUAACGUGCUCUGCAGCCAUGCACCUGUGUCACAGCAUGGCUGUAGAAUGCUUUUAGGGGGACAAUUGUGACAAACGUAACUUCUGUCUGCACCCUCUGUGCCACCAAAUGUAGCUUUGAUAUAUCACUUUUCACAGACUGUUUGGUCAAGAACACUUACUUUUAAGAAAUGGUUUUCACAUCAUUUAUCCUUUCUUUCUUGACCAUAAUAGCUGAGAAAUUUCAAAGAUUGUUCAGCCUGGUUCUCUUCAAAGCAGGGUUUAAUACUGGUCUGAGAAAUACUCGCUAAUUUGGUCAACCUAUACACUUUCUGGUCAUGGCUGCAUAUUACAAAUGAAGUUCAGUAGAUGCAAAUUUUAUGGAGGGAGUUAGAAAUUAAUUCAAGUAACUGGAAAUAAAUAUUUUCCAAUUGAUAACCAAUACUUUCACACCUGCAUUGGCACUCCUGAUCCUGUAGAUAGAUGCAUGAUGAUCUCACUUUAUUCUCAGAGAUAUUUGAAAUCUUAAUUACAUUCUGGAACUUAAAGGCUAUAUCUUGCCUUACAUUUUUAAAUAUAUGUCCAAACUGCUGACAGUGAGUAAAAAGCAGAAUUGGCUUACAGAUACAUCCAUCAGUUUACAGUUGCUCUUUCACUCAUUGCAAUAACUCUGAAUUCACCAGUCAGAAAAGGAAAAAAAUAUACUGCAUCACUCCAUAUCAGUAUGUAAAGAACUCUGCUAUACUGUUCUAGGUUUUAAAAGUAAUCCUUUAAGAUGAGAACUUUAUAGCUGGUUAUCAGUUUCUACAGCUGGUUUCGGGAAAAUAAAAGGAAAAAAAUACUUUAAGUCAAAUGUAGCUAGCUGCUAUAACCAGAUAUUCUGAGCCAAAGAAACUGUUACAUAGACUUGGUUUGUCAUUUGGAUAGGUUUUUUCUUUGUUUGGUUGUAUCUUAGAAUUCCAAAUCUUGAAAAAAAGAUAUAUUUAAAGCAAUACUUCAAAAAGUCCUUGUUUCUCUGGUGGUAACAUGAAGGUAUUGCCUAGAUUUAAAUAUAUAAAAAAAGUGACUUUGAAAAGUAGAAUAAAGAGAGAGGAAAGUUACAAACUUUUUAAAAGAAAUAUUAAAUAAAAAACCCAGCAACAGCAGGACCUACAUUGGAAUAUUUGUGUGUUUAUGUGUCUUUGCGUGUCUGAAUAUAGAUAUUAAGGUUGAUGUUAUAUGGAGUCAUAUAUAGGAGAUAAUGUUAGAAUAGAUACAGAAACAAAAACUUUGUAUUUCCUAACAUUAGCAUCUUAACUAUAACAUCACUUUGAUGGAAGGUUGAAUUUUGGUUUCUUUUUUGUUUUGUUUUGCUGUUGUUUCUCAUUUUUCUAACUUUGCUGCUGGGUGACAUUUCAGAGCAACUUGUAACAAUUUUGAAGCAGUGCAUUAAAGCAGUGCUUCUCAGACUAUCUGAUGUGGUGGACCAGCAAUUUUUUUUCCAGUGGGCCAGGGACUGGUGCCCGGUUCAGCCGGUGGCAGCAACUGCAUAGCGCUGCACAAAUGCACGACCAGCUGUUUCUUUCUCUUUCCUCACCUCGCACAACGUGGCGUCACCUGGAGUGUUGGAACGUACGAACUGUGACACUAUGACAUAUCAAUGUUAUGCUUCUGAAAAUAUAUUUCUUUCUUUCCUGGCAAGUCACUGCAGACCAGCGAAUAUAUUUCUUUCUGUCCUAGCAACUCGCUGUGGACUGGCAACCGGUGGCUGCUGGUCUGCGGACCACCACUUUGAGAAGCACUGCAUUAAAGGACUAAACAGCUUGACAGCUUCUUUCAAACAAAAAUAUUUAUAAAUCUUUUUUCUACCUAAAGAUAAAGAAUUAUUCAUCAGAAAGCUAAAAAAAAAGAAUCCCAAAAUGUCUCUCCAAAAGCAAUUUAAAAAUGGUGUUAGUCUAAGAGAUUUCUAGAAAUUUACAGAGGGGAAUAGGUCAUUUCAUUUAAAGCUGCAUGACUGACUUACCCGCCUAGCCCAGAUAAGCCCUUUUCAAAAGCAAAAGAAACUGUUUGAGUGCCUAGUGAUCCCAGGGAUUUCAAAAAGAGCAAGAUGAGGACCAAAGUGCUGAAAAUAGCAAAUGCAUGUGAUUAGGACAUGAAUUGGAAAGGGCUGUCAAAGGGGCUGAAAUUGCCUUUCAAAAUGAGUCCAGCUCCAAUGAAAUUCUCCAGAAGAGAAAUUUUAGAAGGCUGUAGAUCAAAAAAAAGUCUGAAAGUCAUUCCACCUUCGGAUGAUUAAAAAAUUAAGUAUAUUUGCAGGCUUCACAGUCCAAAAAAAAUUUCAGACAUACCAUUCAGAAUAAAAUGUCAGACCUUUCAAAUGAUAUUCAGCUUCAAAACAAAAGUCUGCAAAUAUGCUAUAAUGAGGUUUCCACAGUUGUUAUCUCUCAGUUAUUUCUAUAACAAAUGAGCUCAGUUUACAAAUCAAACAUUAUUUUUUUCUUACUGCCCGCUCCGCAAACUUAUUCUGCGCUCUGCAAAUCAAGCCAGGCUCUUCUCCUGUGUGCCAGCUGAACACUAGCCAGUUGCACUCUUGCUCAUUAACAGAGCUUUGAAGCUGAAGUUUCAGCAGGCCAAAUUAUUAUUUCAUUUACAUCCAUGCAACUCAAUUGUCUUCAGAUUAUAUCCUCAGGGACACCCGUACAGUCCCAUCCCCUUCUCUUAACUUGCAGACAUAUAACUGAUUGGAACAUAUGGUAGUAAACAAACCUAUUUAUGAUUACCAAGAAGGUAAAAAUACAGCUUGGUCCCUUUUGACUGUGUUGAUUUUAGGGCUUCUUAUAGCUGGUUAGCCACGCCACAGCUCUAUGCAUGAUCCUGUCCGCAGCAGCUAGGCCAAAAGAUAGUGGCUGAGCAUGAAAUCAUUUGCUUCUCUUUUUCUGUUGUGGAGAUAUCUAUCUCCAAGCUGUAAAGUCAGAAUAUUUUAACCAAAAAUUGUACUUAUUUCCUUGGUUUCAAAUGUAACAACAUAAAAAGAUUGUCUCUGCUGA